rnacentral:lncRNA from 1 species
AGAGGGGUGGGGCUUUUGUAAUUCCAGCUACUUCAGAAAGAGGUGGGCGAAUGACAAGUACAAAUCCUGCCUGGGCAACAUGGGGAAACUGUCUCAAAACAAAAUAAAGGGCUGGGGAUGUAGGUCAGUGGUAGAAUGAUCGCCUAGCAUAUUUCAGUCCCAAACUGGUUUCAAGUCCCAAACCAGAAAAAAACAAUGUAACAAAUGCAUUGAGAUCUUCAGUCAAAUUGGUGUCUUGCAUAUCAGAAUUCAUGGUGGAGAGAUGCCCUGUGGAUGUGAUGAGUGGCAAAGACUAGGGUGCAUCUGACCUGACCGAUUAUGUGAUCCACACCAAGUGACGAGGUGUUCACUGACAUCUCCUACCGUGCAAAUUGUCAAGACUUUAUCCUAGAGAAAAAAAACACAAAUGAAUUAGGCAAAGUGUCAGUCAGCAUUCAAGUCCUGCAAGACCCCUCAGAGUUCCUAGUGGAAAAAUUAUCUUCCAUGAUCAAGAAAUAUGCAGACCCUUUAGGCCUCAUUUAAGGCUUAGUAACUUUCAGUGAGUCUGUGACAGAGAGGAAUCUUACCCAUGCAUUGGACAUACACAGACCUUCAGGUAAAAGUCUGUCGUCAGGAUUCCUGCUGGAAAUAAACCUCACAAAUGUACCAAGGGUGGCAGAUCUUUAGUGUGCACUCGGCCCUCUAUACACACCAGGCCUAUCAUGACUGUGUCCAAAAAGGAACCCUGAGAAGCCAAGGCCUUACUUCAUGGAAUGAGGAUCACUGCUGUCCUUGCUCCUGGAAGAGAAGGACUCUGCCUAUUAGAAUGCAGCAGUGUCUGCACCAAGGACUGUUUGGAAGGGGCUGAGCAGGAUGUAGAAUUAGUAUGUUGGUCAUCCUGCUUGCUGUGGUAGGUGCACCCUUGUCCAUAUUGUCCAGGAAGUAUGCAGGGAAUUGGUGGCCACCCACUGCAUUUAAUGGCCAGAGCUGUUCUUUGGAAUGAUUGAAGAGUGAUUGGUCUUAUUCUUGGAAUUGAAAAGUUAUUAGGGAGAUCAAGCAAAAGAACCACAAUAGCAUUUUCUUGUGGAGGAAUCACCUUUACCUGCUGAUGUUGCCUUUGGUUCUGAUUUAUUCA